rnacentral:rRNA from 1 species
GAUCCUGGCUCAGGAUGAACGCUAGCGACAGGCUUAACACAUGCAAGUCGAGGGGCAGCGGGGUGUAGCAAUACACCGCCGGCGACCGGCGCACGGGUGAGUAACGCGUAUGCAACCUUCCGUACACUCAGGGAUAGCCUUUCGAAAGAAAGAUUAAUACCUGAUGGUAUCUUAAGCACACAUGUAAUUAAGAUUAAAGAUUUAUCGGUGAUGGAUGGGGAUGCGUCUGAUUAGCUUG